CCCUUAGAUGUUCUGGGCCGCACGCGCGCUACACUGACGAAUGCAACGAGCUUAUAACCUUGGCCGAAAGGUCUGGGUAAUCUCCAAAUUUCGUCGUGAUGGGGAUAGAUUAUUGCAAUUAUUAAUCUUCAACGAGGAAUGCCUAGUAAGCGCAAGUCAUCAGCUUGCGUUGAUUACGUCCCUGCCCUUUGUACACACCGCCCGUCGCUCCUACCGAUUGAAUGGUCCGGUGAAGCGCUCGGACCGCGGCCUCUUGCCGGUUCGCUGUCGAUUGGCUGUGGGAAGUUCGUUAAACCUUAUCAUUUAGAGGAAGGAGAAGUCGUAACA
rnacentral:rRNA from 1 species